CAGCCUGUGACAUAAUCUUGAGGGUAGUUUGUCUUGCUUAGCACACGAGCCAAGAUUUUCUAGAAGAUUCCACCAAAGGAUCAAGAAAGCAGAGGAACAGUGCUCUCAGCUUUGGUUAUUCCCAACCAAAACCUGCUGCUGCUUCUCCGCCAGCCAUGCUGUCUGCUUCCUGCUUGGGACUUGUGAUCUUGUUGAUACUGAGGGACACCUAUGGGGAUUCAGUGAACCAGACAGAAGGCCCCGUUAUCCUCCCCGAGGGGGCAUUUCUGACCUUGAAUUGUACUUACCAGACCAGCUAUUCAGCUGUUCUUUACUGGUAUGUCCAGUAUCAAAACAAAGAGCCUAAGCUCCUCCUGAAAAGCUCAUCGGAUAAGAAGGCGAACAUCCGUGGUUUUCACGCCGAUCUUGUUAAGAAAGACAGCUCUUUUCACCUGCAAAAACCCGCAGUGGAAACGACCGACUCAGCCGUGUACUACUGUGCCCUGGCAGACACAGUGAGGGAAGCUGCAGGGGGAGCUGAGCACAAACCCAGAGGGCCUCAGUGGGGCGGAAGGGGAGCAGCCUGGCUAUGUUAG